rnacentral:rRNA from 1 species
GAGUUUGAUCGUGGCUCAGGAUGAACGCUGGCGGCGUGCUUAACACAUGCAAGUCGAACGAAGCGCCUUAUUUGAUUUUCUUCGGAACUGAAGAUUUGGUGACUGAGUGGCGGACGGGUGAGUAACGCGUGGGUAACCUGCCCUGUACAGGGGGAUAACAAUCAGAAAUGACUGCUAAUACCGCAUAAGACCACAGCACCGCAUGGUGCAGGGGUAAAAACUCCGGUGGUACAGGAUGGACCCGCGUCUGAUUAGCUGGUUGGUGAGGUAACGGCUCACCAAGGCGACGAUCAGUAGCCGGCUUGAGAGAGUGAACGGCCACAUUGGGACUGAGACACGGCCCAAACUCCUACGGGAGGCAGCAGUGGGGAAUAUUGCACAAUGGGGGAAACCCUGAUGCAGCAACGCCGCGUGAGUGAAGAAGUAUUUCGGUAUGUAAAGCUCUAUCAGCAGGGAAGAAAGUGACGGUACCUGACUAAGAAGCCCCGGCUAACUACGUGCCAGCCGCCGCAGUAAC